AUGAACGCUGGCGGCGUGCCUAAUCCAUGCAAGUCGAGCGAACAGACGAGGAGCUUGCUCCUCUGACGUUAGCGGCGGACGGGUGAGUAACACGUGGAUAACCUACCUAUAAGACUGGGAUAACUUCGGGAAACCGGAGCUAAUACCGGAUAAUAUAUUGAACCGCAUGGUUCAAUAGUGAAAGACGGUUUUGCUGUCACUUAUAGAUGGAUCCGCGCCGCAUUAGCUAGUUGGUAAGGUAACGGCUUACCAAGGCAACGAUGCGUAGCCGACCUGAGAGGGUGAUUGGCCACACUGGAACUGAGACACGGUCCAGACUCCUACGGGAGGCAGCAGUAGGGAAUCUUCCGCAAUGGGCGAAAGCCUGACGGAGCAACGCCGCGUGAGUGAUGAAGGUCUUCGGAUCGUAAAACUCUGUUAUUAGGGAAGAACAAAUGUGUAAGUAACUAUGCACGUCUUGACGGUACCUAAUCAGAAAGCCACGGCUAACUACGUG
rnacentral:rRNA from 1 species